rnacentral:rRNA from 1 species
UGGGGAAUUUUGGACAAUGGGGGCAACCCUGAUCCAGCCAUGCCGCGUGCGGGAAGAAGGCCUUCGGGUUGUAAACCGCUUUUGGUCGGGAAGAAAGGGUUCGGGCUAAUAACCUGGACUGUUGACGGUACCGGCAGAAUAAGCACCGGCUAACUACGUGCCAGCAGCCGCGGUAAUACGUAGGGUGCGAGCGUUAAUCGGAAUUACUGGGCGUAAAGCGUGCGCAGGCGGUAAGUUAAGUCUGAUGUGAAAGCCCCGGGCUCAACCUGGGAAUGGCAUUGGAAACUGGCUUGCUAGAGUGUGGCAGAGGGGGGUGGAAUUCCGCGUGUAGCAGUGAAAUGCGUAGAGAUGCGGAGGAACACCGAUGGCGAAGGCAGCCCCCUGGGCCAACACUGACGCUCAGGCACGAAAGCGUGGGGAGCAAACA